GAAAAAACCCUACUCUGUCCACCUCCCUCAGCUCUCUCUUUAUUCCUCAAACCUCAUCCCCAUUCGCUCAGUUUAAAGCUUUGUCUCUGUGUUUUGUGAUGUGGGAACUGAUAAGAGCUAUUCUCUUCUACCUCUCUCAAUGAGUUCUCUCUAUGUAUGUAACAGUGCAGAUUUUGACAACAGUGGUACCAUAGACUAUGGAGAGUUUGUAGCAGCUAUGCUCCAUCUAAACAAGAUCCAGAGGGAGGAUCAUUUUUUUGCAGCCUUCUCUUACUUUGACAAAGAUGGGAGUGGAUACAUCACUGCAGAUGAACUACAACAGGCCUGUGAGCAGUUUGGCUUAGAAGAUGUUUAGCUAGAAGAUAUAAUGCGUGAAAUUGACCAGGAUAAUGUACACCAACUCAGACUGAUCCAUGGAUUGAUCUUUCCCAUUUUGUCAUUUUGGCCUCGUUUUUGUUAUCUAAAAAUUUCUUUGUUUGUGUUUGUGGGUUGGCCCUUUUUGUGUUAUUUGGUUUAAGGCUCUCUCUUUUUUGUUGAAGUAUCUGAAUUUUAGCUGGUUGAAUUGUUAUUUGGAUUAUAAUUUGUUUUGUUGAUUGGUAUUAUUUUGGUUGGUUCUAUUUA